rnacentral:lncRNA from 1 species
UAUAUUAAAUACAGGUAAAAUUCUCAGGCGAUCUUAUUUAUAAUUUUAAAUCUAAAAUUUUGCACAGGCAAAACCGCGUGCAAUAGUAGUGACAUUAACGUAAUGUGAUGAAACUUACUUUUUACCUUAGACCCAACAGGGUAUUGAGCUGGCAACGUCCCAUAGGUUCACUUCACGACCUUGACGACGGUCAAUAGGAAGAGCGGCAACGUCGGUUGUAAUAUGUCAAAUCAUAAAUAAAGCUUCUAUCAAAUACUCAUAACAAUGGAGGUACACGAGUGUACUUUGUUUACCGUUGUUUACUUUUCUUGACGUAAGUGAAGACGCUAUUUCAAGAAAUUUGAAGUGCUAAUUCAUUAAAAUAUGUACGCUUUCAUGACUGUGCCUCAACUUAAAGUUGAGGUUCGUAAAAGAAAUGCGUCAAUUGCCGGAAAAAAAGGCUAAUUUGAUAGAAAGAUUGCAAUCUAAUGACCGGAAUAAAAAUUUUGGUGUUGACUGCGAGAUCCAAGAGGAGAUCGCAUAUCUGAGUCCAGCCACUGAUACUUUCAGAGACAUAAUUGCGGACACUUCUUUACCAAUGAUUACGAGACAAGCAAUACAGGAAUAUUUUGAAAGUUAUGUACCCAUAUGUAAUGAUUAUAAUCUUAGGCAGUUGUUUACAAAGAUGACAGUGUAAAUUUUAUGUAUUUAAAUUGGUAUACCUACACUCAUAUAUCAUGAUAUCUUGAUAACAUUAUAUUAUAUUUUCUUACUACAUUAUUGUUUUUGCAGAUAUAAUACUCAGCAUAAAGGACAACUCCUGUACGAAUUUCGACAUCUUGUGACUGCCCGCUAUUCCACAGAUGGCAUUUAUACCCACUUGCGAGGACAAUGUAAAGCCAGUAUGAAAAAAAUGGUAUACUUUGUGGAUAUAAAAUUAAGUAAAGAUGGAGUAAUUGAAGAAUGCCAUUGCGAUUGUGCUGCAGGCAGUGGUACUCAAGCAUGUUGCAAACAUGUCUCUGUAUUGUUGGAUGACAUGUGAACCCGCAAAUCCACAUGGCAUUGAAUGGGAUCGUUACACCUAUGUAGAUAGGACUCCAAUAGAUAUUUUACUAGAGAAGCUAUUAUUAAAAAUAUUAUAUCUGAACAAAUUCAGGAAGUGAGAAGAAUACAAGAGCCCAAAGUGAUUCCUCUGAGUGGCAUGAAAGAUCAUGCAGGAUUACUGCCAGUAUGUUUCAUUUAGUGUGCCACAGUAAAACAUAUGAGUACCAAAAAUAUAUGUAAUCGAUAUGAUUUUGGCCCCCAAAGCUGUGCAGACUAUGUUAGUUGUGCAUAGUAAAAUCCAAGAAACUAUUUCCAUUGCCAAAUAUGAUAGAGAUUAUGGACUAAAAAUAAAAAAAGUGGAUUCAUUAUAUCAUUUGAAUAUCCUUUUCUGGCUGUUUCUCCAGACGGUAUAUUGGGUAAAGAUACUAUUGUUGAGGUUAAGUGUCCAUAUGCUGCUAGAUAUUAUAAAAUAACCUCUGUGACUGUGCCUUACUUAAAAAUACUUAAUGGAGAAUUACAUUUAAAAAAGCAGCAUCCAUAUUAUGCCCAAAUCCAAAGCCAACUUUAUUGUUCGGGGAGCAAUAUUGCAAUUUUAUUGUUUACACAUUUGAGGAUAUGAAAAUAAUAUUCAUUAAUAGAGAUGACUCAUUUAUUAAUGGCAUGUUGACAAAUUUGUUAAACUUUUAUGUACAUAAUUUAGAACCAGAAAUGUAAAUAAGUAUGUGUAUAAGAACUAUUUACAAUUAAUAAAUAAAUUGAAAUAA